rnacentral:lncRNA from 1 species
CUCUGUCCGCAGAAAGAGGUCUUCUGGAUAAAUUAUCUGAAGGGUUGCAAAUCGAAUCUCCCAAGCUCAGUUGAGGUCAGCAAAGAUUGACGAAGUUACCUCCGGGUGCAGGUUCUGGGCUGGGUGCUAGAAUGUGGAAAUAAGGAAGACAGAGUUCCUGCCCCAGGAUCCCAGUCAGGGGAGGGAGGGAGGGAGUGGCCAGGAGAAGUCACCUCAUGGAAGGCGGCCAUGUUGUGACGGGAUAGAUACAAAGCGCUAAGAGAAGACAGACAAAAAGCUCAGCUCUCGAAGAAAUGUGCUGAUAGUACCUUGAUCAAUCAUUUCUCGACUUGUUUUUUUAACGGUUUAUGAAGCAUUUUUGAGUAUAGGAGCUCAUCUGAUCCUCACACGCACUCAGCGAAGCAAAGACAGCAGUGACUUUCCCGCCUUGAUACACGGGGAGACUGAGGUCUCAUCGAGAUGGCUCCCUGGGCAGACGCACGGUGGGUACUGACAGAAGAACGAGGAGCGUCGCUUCCGUCGAUUAAGGGCUUCCUUGCGCCAGGCCUGUGCCAAGCCCUGGACAAAUAUGAUCUCUCUCAAUUCUCACGACUCUUCAAAACAGGGUGGAGAGUCUAAAGGAAGAGCUCACUCUGCCAUGAUGCUGAUGUCACCUGCUGAUUCUUUUCUUUUGAAGAUUAUUCAGCCUCUUGCUUCUCCCUCCACUUCUUCCAACCUUUUAGACAUUUCAUGGCUUGAGAGAAUCACCAUAAGAAGAUGGAGAUGAUGGGAAGCACACUGAGUUGUAGCAGCUACGUCUCUUACCAGUUCUGUGACUUGGGCAAAUUCACUUGAGCUUCCUGAACCUUAGUUUCUUUAGCCAUAAAAUGGGAUCAUAAUUAUACUUAGUGACCUGAUAUUGCAUGUGAAGCAGCUGGGCCAGGGCCUGUUUGAUAGUAAAAGCUGCAUAAAUGUGACGUUGUCAUCAUUAUCUCCAUGGCCUGGCUGACAGGACCACAAGAAAGGAAAAGAGACUGAAAUCUUUUAUAUUCUUCUUAACUCUCUGGAAAAAGGAUUUAACACUCUGGUGAAAGAGCAUAAAAUUAAUAUGACUGGUUGGUCAAAAUGAGA